rnacentral:rRNA from 1 species
CAGCAGCCACGGGAAUACGUAGGUGGCAAACGUUGUCCGGAAUUAUUGGGCGUAAAGGGCUCGCAGGCGGUUUCUUAAGUCUGAUGUGAAAGCCCCCGGCUCAACCGGGGAGGGUCAUCGGAAACUGGGAAACUUGAGUGCAGAAGAGGAGAGUGGAAUUCCACGUGUAGCGGUGAAAUGCGUAGAGAUGUGGAGGAACACCAGUGGCGAAGGCGACUCUCUGGUCUGUAACUGACGCUGAGGAGCGAAAGCGUGGGGAGCGAACAGGAUUAGAUACCCCUGUAGUCCCUGUCUCUUAUAC